rnacentral:lncRNA from 1 species
UAAAGAACAUAAACUAACCUCAUCAGAAUCUUCCUCAGACGACUCUGAACUGCUUGCAGCCUUGGUAGCAACAGGAGCUGCCUUCUUAGCAACAGGUUUCACCUUCUCAUCCUCGGAUUCAUCUUCUGAAUCCUCCUCAGAGGAUGAAGAAUCCUUCGCAGCUGGCUUAGCUGCAGCAGGUUUCUUGGUAACAGCAACUUCUUCCUGAAAGAGAAGGUAACAACAGUCUAAUGUGUUAGCAAAAAAAAAGCCAAGAAGAGCAGGCUAAACUUGAUAGUAAUCAGAAACUAACCUCAUCUGAAGAUUCCUCCUCAGAAGAAGAUUCAUCUUUUGCCUUCUUCGCAACAGUUCCGUUAGUAGCCUUCUUUGGUGUGGGUUCCUUCAGAAACAGAAUUAAAGGUUUAAGCAACAUGCAUCACAAGAUAAAUUAACAACAAAGUGAUAAACAGCUCUUACAUCAUCUGAAGAAGAGUCGUCAUCAUCACUGCUUGAAGCAGCCUUCACUGGAGCCUUCUUGGCAGGAACUUUCUUAGCCUAACACAAUUUAAUCAUCGCAAAUAAGAACAGGAUACAUCCAAAGUAUCUAAGUGAACAUAAACAAUACAUAACUUACUACAGCAGAACACAGUUAAGGUUUUCAUACGAAUUAAUCAACCAUGAGAUUAGUAGUAUAUUUUACCUGUUGCUUCUCAGCAUCCACCAUUUCUACAUCAGAGCUCUGUUUUCAUUAGAGGGAGUAACUUUCCGUCAGCAAACAGCAAGUAAAAGAAAUAAACAAUCAAAUAAUAUGCAGGAAGCAUUGCUGGAACCUUCUUCUUUGGGGUUUCUUUCGCAUCCUCACUCUCAGACUCCUCAGAGCCAGAGUCAUCGCUACUGCUAUCCUUUUCAGCCUUCUUGGUACCUUCUUUAGCCUUUGGUGCAGGUUUUUCAUCUUCACUUUCCUGUAAAUCGACCACGUGGUCAAAUGAAUCAAAUGUUUCCUUGUCAUCAAAAGCUGCUUAAUGGUACAUUUAAAGAACAUAAACUAACCUCAUCAGAAUCUUCCUCAGACGACUCCGAACUGCUUGCAGCCUUGGUAGCAACAGGAGCUGCCUUCUUAGCAACAGGUUUCACCUUCUCAUCCUCGGAUUCAUCUUCAGAAUCCUCCUCAGAGGAUGAAGAAUCCUUCGCAGCUGGCUUAGCUGCAGCAGGUUUCUUGGUAACAGCAACUUCUUCCUGAAAGAGAAGGUAACAACAAUCAAUUGUGUUAAGCAAAAAGCCAAG